UCAGGACGUGGCUGAGACAGUCAAGCAUCUCCCUUACACUGAGAAGACAUCCAUGCAAGUUGGAUCGCCCUGAGC
rnacentral:tRNA from 1 species